rnacentral:misc_RNA from 1 species
UCAACCCUCAAGCCUAGCUUGCGAUUGGAUCUUUCGUCGUCAAAAGACGGGUCCCAAAGCGAAUGACGGAGUCUGUCGGACCCUAGAUGCAACGAGCUCUCUACGACAGCACGCAUCAAAGGGCCCGACGGCUUUGGUCUCAACCAUCUCUUCAUAACAAGGUUGACCUCGGAUCAGGUAGGGAUACCCGCUGAACUUAA